rnacentral:rRNA from 1 species
GUAAAGUACUUUCAGUCGUGAGGAAGGCGGCGUCGUUAAUAGCGGCGUUGUUUGACGUUAGCGACAGAAGAAAGCACCGGCUAACUCCGUGCCAGCAGCCGCGGUAAUACGGAGGGUGCGAGCGUUAAUCGGAAUUACUGGGCGUAAAGCGCAUGCAGGUGGUUUGUUAAGUCAGAUGUGAAAGACCCGGGGCGUCAACCUCGGAAUUGCAUUUGUAAACUAGGCAGACUAGAGUACUGUAGAGGGGGGUAGGAAUUUCAGGUGUAGCGGUGAAAUGCGUAGAGAUCUGAAGGAAUACCGGUGGCGAAGGCGGCCCCCUCGGACAGAUACUGACACUCAGAUGCGAAAGCGUGGGGAGCAAACAGGAUUAGAUACCCUGGUAG